rnacentral:lncRNA from 1 species
GCCAAACCAUUGUAUACAGAUACAAUUCCCUGAAGGAAUAUCAUGAAUGAACCUGUCAAUGCAAACAGUCCACAGAAAAUGAAAUGGUUUGAACGACAAUAGUUCACAGCAACGGUUUAAAAUCAAUUUUCAGCAAUGACUGUGCUAGCCAACAGUCCACACAGCACACCUAGGAAAUCGCAAUUUGUGGUAACAGAUUAAAGUUCUCCAGGGCCAUAAAAUGGUUGAUUAGCUGGCACCAUGCAAGAAACUGCCUUUAGCAAACAGUUUUGAUUGACAUGUAAAUUUUCCAGGCUACAUUGAAAACACUAGCCAAGUCAAAAGAAGUGCAAGGGGAAAC